rnacentral:lncRNA from 10 species
UGGGCACCCCCAGUCUUUCCAUCCUCCUCAUUCGUCUAGGGGCACCCGAAUCCCCUAUUCCUUAUUUCCCCUAUCACUCAGGCACUGGCAGGGUCCUUGGCCCACUCCUGUUGGCCGCCGCGGCUCCAAAGCGAGAUGUGCCUGAGACAGGUUUGACCAGGCAACUGAAAAGACAUCCCUAAGGGAAGACAAAGCAAAGGUAUGAAAGGAACACACGUCCCUGACUGACUAGGAGGAACAGAGCUGCCUGCUGUCUGGAACCGCUUCCUCCCAGACUAAGUGAGAAAUAAACUUCUGUUUUCUAUAU